UGGGGAAUAUUGGACAAUGGGGGGAACCCUGAUCCAGCCAUGCCGCGUGUGUGAAGAAGGCCUUUUGGUUGUAAAGCACUUUAAGCGAGGAGGAGGCUACUUAGAUUAAUACUCUGAGAUAGUGGACGUUACUCGCAGAAUAAGCACCGGCUAACUCUGUGCCAGCAGCCGCGGUAAUACAGAGGGUGCAAGCGUUAAUCGGAUUUACUGGGCGUAAAGCGUGCGUAGGUGGCCAAUUAAGUCAAAUGUGAAAUCCCUGAGCUUAACUUAGGAAUUGCAUUCGAUACUGGUUGGCUAGAGUAUGGGAGAGGAUGGUAGAAUUCCAGGUGUAGCGGUGAAAUGCGUAGAGAUCUGGAGGAAUACCGAUGGCGAAGGCAGCCAUCUGGCCUAAUACUGACACUGAGGUACGAAAGCAUGGGGAGCAAACAGG
rnacentral:rRNA from 1 species